AAGGGCACCACAAGAACGCGUGGAGCAUGUGGCUUAAUUUGACUCAACGCGGGAAAUCUUACCGGGUCCGGACACACUGAGGAUUGACAGGUAUUAUUGUAUGAUCACCAUUUUUAUGUGUGUAUCAUACAUGUUAAAUAUGCUAGUCCUUUCAUGAUUAUGUGAUAGGUGGUGCAUGGCCGUUCUUAGUUCGUGGAGUGAUCUGUCUGCUUAAUUGCGUUUCACUAAGGGCCUAUAAAUUUACGUAUGAUGCGGCGCUUUGACCCCUCUUAAUUGAGCGCGUGUCUUUGUUUGCUUAGCACAUACAAUUAGGUCCUGAAAGCAACGAACGUGACCGCAACCUCUUGUUGCCUCUAUACCAAACACAUAGUUGUAUCUUUAUGAUUACACUUUGUGCAAAGAGGCCUUUUAAACUAGAGGGACCGCUGUUACUUUCUUAAACCAGAGGAAGGUUGCGGCAAUAACAGGUCUGUGAUGCCCUUAGAUGUUCCGGGCUGCACACGUGCUACAAUGAUUAUUGGCAAUGAGCAUCUCAUUUUUACACACGCAUGCGCCGAGUCUAUUUAUUCACCUUAAGUGUGCUUUAAAAUAUGUAUCUCUGCGCGCGGUAAAGCCUGUUCCGAAAGUAAGUGGGUAAUCAAUUAGAAGUAAUGAUUUCCUUAUAUAGCACACAUAUAUACGGCAUCUUUUACCCGGGUUACCUUGUUGUAAGUUUCUUGUGUGUAUUGAUGUUUUUUCCGUAUGUGCGAUUGUCAAUUCAUGGUGGGGACAGACCAUUGUAAAUUGUUGGUCUCGGUCUUAACUAGGAAUGCCUUGUACGGGUCUUUGGUUCAACAAACCACCCGGAAUACGUCCCUGCCCUUUGUACACACCGCCCGUCGCUCUUACCGAUGGACUUCUCUGUGAGUUUGAGGGGCUGGGAACGCAUAUAAUUCAUUAUAUGCACACCUAUGGAAACUUAAACGAACAGUGUGGUCUAAAGGAAAGAGAAGUCGUAACAAGGCAUCGGUAGGUGAACCUGCAGAAGGAUCA
rnacentral:rRNA from 1 species